UACUUAAGUUCUGAUGGGAGGACUGGCUUCUUCAUUUCUCAAAGAACUUCCUCAUCGCUAAAUUUAUUAUUUACAACACAGCCCACACAUUUCUCUCUUCCAGGGGUUCUUGUAGGAGCAAUCCCCGGUCUCUUCGAGAAUCUUCGGCCCACAAAAUUCUCUGCACAGGGACAGAUCACAGAGCUCACGUGCCAGAAAGGACUCAGCAUCACCUGGUCAAUGACCUGAAACCCCGCUGCUUACCACCAUCUCAGCUUCCAAUCUGAGAGCAGGUUCCACAGAAACUCGUCUUUGCUGGGUUCACGCCAGAGCUGGAGACGGAAGCUGGGGCUCCGGACCCCCCAUCUAGAAUCUUUUCAGACGAGCAAGAAGCUCAAUGGCACAAGCCCCAGACAGCAACAUGCAGCCUUUUCAGUAUUUCGAUAAAUGUAUCAAGCUCUGUGAACGUUCCUUCCAACAGACGUUGGUCCCAUGACACCCAGGAUCACGUUAGAAGGACAGGAGCAACCACGGCCAAUACUGCCAGGUACGCUGUUCUAACAGGCUUGUGCGCCCCAUCUCCUUGAGUCCUCUCAGCACCCUAAGAGCUAGCCUGGACACCGUUAUCACCCCCAUUUUAAGAAGAGGAGACUAAGACGCACAGAGAUGAUGGAACUCACCCGGGUGACCCAGCAAGCGGGUGGCCGAGCUAAGACUCGAACCUAGCAUGCUCUGGGUCCAGAGACCGGGCUGCUAAUUCCUUACGCGGACUCUCGAAAUUCCAGAACCCACUUCCAGGUGGUCCUCACCCAUGCAAACACGGAUGAGCCACAGAGCUUUAAAGUCGGAAGGAAGCAGAGAGAUCAAAUGAGAUUUGCUUUUGGAGAAGUGCAGGCUCAGCAGACACAGAGGCAUCACUCAUCUAUGAAAGAACUCCACGCAGCAUUUUGCCAAACGGCUCAGAGUUUCAGGAUAAAGCGAAACCCCGGGGACGGAGCCUUUCCAGCCAAAAUCAGCUUUGGCACAAAAGCAGGAAGUGAGAAGUCCACGUGCUCAGGCACAAACACCUGCUACCCGGCCACCACUUCCACAGCAAGUCCAGGCUCUGUGAGCAGCGCUGCGGCCCCCGGACCUCGGGGAGGACGAGCAAACCCUUGCCGGGGGAGCACUGCAGAGAGAGUCUGACAGGCUUUAAAAGACGUGACAAGGAAGAACCGCUCCCUGUGGAUGUUACGCACGUGGAAAAAGGCCAGGACCAGAAACUCCGUUAGGAAGAAGGGUUAUCCAAGCCCAAAUAGAAAGGAUACGCCGUCUAAUCACGUGGGCUUUUCAACUCAGCCCAAAUAUGUGGCAGAUAAGGACCAGACGAAAUUUCCCUUGCUAGCAUCACAUAAAGGAAUCCCUCCGACCAGAAUCACUUCAUUAUAAUUCCUUCCUGUCAACCGAUAAUUGUACCAUUCUACACAACAUAUAUCAUUCUGCGUCUGGUGUCCUAUAAGAUUCUCAAGAAGUCAUGGCUGCUCUGUCUCCCUAAAUUGAGGGCCCACCUUUGGUCUCAUUUGAAAACAUUGAUCUGUAUGUAGCUGGUGCUUAUGAAGAGGUGUUGGCUGUCUGUUCAAUGAGUGCUAAGUGUAAUGUAACCCAAACGGCUUUGGAAUUCUGUCUCAGCCUCCUCUCUGCAGCCGCCUACUUUUUCUAGGGCAGGGUAAUGGAAAUUAGUUCAAGAAACGGAAAAAGUGUGAUUUCAGUAACUCCACUGAGCUGGUUUCCCUCGGGAAAAGGACAGCUAAACUGACUAUUGCCAGAAAAUAAACAAGUGCUGUGUGCCCUCUAUUAGUUAUUUAAA